AGCAACUUUCUUAGUGGCGGACGGGUGAGUAACGCGUGAACAAUCUGCCCUGUACAAAGGAAUAGCCUCGGGAAACCGGGAUUAAAACCGUAUAACACUUUAGUACCGCAUGGUACAGAAGUCAAAUUGAUUAAGAGGUAUAGGAUGAGUUCGCGUCUGAUUAGCUAGUUGGUAAGGUAACGGCUUACCAAGGCGACGAUCAGUAGCCGGCCUGAGAGGGUGAACGGCCACACUGGAACUGAGACACGGUCCAGACUCCUACGGGAGGCAGCAGUGGGGAAUAUUGCACAAUGGAGGAAACUCUGAUGCAGCGACGCCGCGUGAGUGAAGAAGGUCUUCGGAUCGUAAAACUCUGUCCUUGGUGAAGAUAAUGACGGUAGCCAAGGAGGAAGCCCCGGCUAACUACGUGCCAGCAGCCGCGGUAAUACGUAGGGGGCGAGCGUUGUCCGGAUUUACUGGGCGUAAAGGGUGAGUAGGCGGUUGUAUAUGUCAGGUGUAAAAGGCUAUGGCUUAACCAUGGUUAGCACUUGAAACUGUACAACUUGAGUGCAGGAGAGGUAAGUGGAAUUCCUAGUGUAGCGGUGAAAUGCGUAGAUAUUAGGAGGAACACCAGUGGCGAAGGCGACUUACUGGACUGUAACUGACGCUGAGUCACGAAAGCGUGGGUAGCAAACAGGAUUAGAUACCCUGGUAGUCCACGCUGUAAACGAUGAGUGCUAGGUGUUGGGUAGCGAUACUCAGUGCCGCAGUAAACACAAUAAGCACUCCGCCUGGGGAGUACGUACGCAAGUAUGAAACUCAAAGGAAUUGACGGGGACCCGCACAAGCAGCGGAGCAUGUGGUUUAAUUCGAAGCAACGCGAAGAACCUUACCAAGGCUUGACAUCCCCUUGACCAGUGCAGAGAUGUACUCUUCUCUUCGGAGACAAGGGAGACAGGUGGUGCAUGGUUGUCGUCAGCUCGUGUCGUGAGAUGUUGGGUUAAGUCCCGCAACGAGCGCAACCCUUAUCCUUAGUUGCCAGCAAGUAAAGUUGGGCACUCUAAGGAGACUGCCGGUGAUAAACCGGAGGAAGGUGGGGAUGACGUCAAAUCAUCAUGCCCCUUAUGUCUUGGGCUACACACGUGCUACAAUGGUCGGUACAACGGGCAGCAAAGGAGCGAUCCCAAGCGAAUCCCAAUAAACCGAUCCCAGUUCGGAUUGUAGGCUGCAACUCGCCUACAUGAAGUCGGAGUUGCUAGUAAUCGCGAAUCAGAACGUCGCGGUGAAUGCGUUCCCGGGUCUUGCACUCACCGCCCGUCA
rnacentral:rRNA from 1 species